rnacentral:rRNA from 1 species
AGAGUUUGAUCCUGGCUCAGAUUGAACGCUGGCGGCAGGCCUAACACAUGCAAGUCGAGCGGUAGCACAGAGAGCUUGCUCUCGGGUGACGAGCGGCGGACGGGUGAGUAAUGUCUGGGAAACUGCCUGAUGGAGGGGGAUAACUACUGGAAACGGUAGCUAAUACCGCAUAACGUCGCAAGACCAAAGAGGGGGACCUUCGGGCCUCUUGCCAUCAGAUGUGCCCAGAUGGGAUUAGCUAGUAGGUGGGGUAAUGGCUCACCUAGGCGACGAUCCCUAGCUGGUCUGAGAGGAUGACCAGCCACACUGGAACUGAGACACGGUCCAGACUCCUACGGGAGGCAGCAGUGGGGAAUAUUGCACAAUGGGCGCAAGCCUGAUGCAGCCAUGCCGCGUGUAUGAAGAAGGCCUUCGGGUUGUAAAGUACUUUCAGCGAGGAGGAAGGCAUUGUGGUUAAUAACCACAGUGAUUGACGUUACUCGCAGAAGAAGCACCGGCUAACUCCGUGCCAGCAGCCGCGGUAAUACGGAGGGUGCAAGCGUUAAUCGGAAUUACUGGGCGUAAAGCGCACGCAGGCGGUCUGUCAAGUCGGAUGUGAAAUCCCCGGGCUCAACCUGGGAACUGCAUUCGAAACUGGCAGGCUAGAGUCUUGUAGAGGGGGGUAGAAUUCCAGGUGUAGCGGUGAAAUGCGUAGAGAUCUGGAGGAAUACCGGUGGCGAAGGCGGCCCCCUGGACAAAGACUGACGCUCAGGUGCGAAAGCGUGGGGAGCAAACAAAAUUAGAUACCCUGGUAGUCCACGCCGUAAACGA